rnacentral:lncRNA from 1 species
CUGAGAGAUUACUUUAGGAUGAUGGAAGCUGGCUUUAGGCUUUAUUGGCUACUCCUGGUUAAGACGUUUUUGUCUUCAGCUUCAAUGAGCUGUGUUCAUAAAGAAGCAGAACAAUGGGGGAGAAUGAGGAGCUCUCAUGGAUUCCUUGCAAAGGAAUAAACUCAAACGAAGAGGACUACCCUUUCAGAGAUUUUCUUUCGCCAACGGAACCCUUGGUGUUUGCCAGUGUUCUAAUGUUGUGACUGGAGUUACUGAUCUCUAUUAUAAUUUGUGUGGACUCCUCUCUUUCUGGAAGAGUGCGUUCUCCUUCGCGGGAUUAACUGAGAGGUAAGGCUCUCUGUCGUCUGAGGAGAUUGAUGCUGAUCCUGACAGACUCACUAAGUGAAUCCUAUUUCUUUCUAACGUAAUGGUGGUGAUUUUUGCAGCUUUGAAAAUAGCUUCUGUUUAAGAUUUGCCUAUUACUGAAGGGUUCCCCCC